GAGGGUAUAGCUCAAGUGGUAGAGUGCUUGCUUAGCAUACAUGAGGUCCUGGGUUCAAUCCCCAGUACCUCCU
rnacentral:tRNA from 1 species